CCUCAAUGUCGCCUGGCCGUUGUCUGAACUUGAUUACCAUUAUAGAAAAGUUAACGCAUCUAACUAGACGCCUUAAUUUUUCUAGUAAUGGUCAUCAAGCUCCUACAACGGCCAGGCGACAUUGCGG
rnacentral:pre_miRNA from 1 species